rnacentral:rRNA from 1 species
GCUUGUCUCAAAGAUUAAGCCAUGCAUGUCUAAGUAUAAAUAGUAUACAGUGAAACUGCGAAUGGCUCAUUAAAACAGUUAUAGUUUAUUUGAUAAUUGAAAAUUACAUGGAUAACCGUGGUAAUUCUAGAGCUAAUACAUGCUAUCAAGCCCGACUUCUUGAAGGGUUGUAUUUAUUAGACUUAAGCCAAUAUUCCUUGUGUCUAUUGUGGUGAAUCAUAGUAACUAAUCGGAUCGCAUGGGCUAGUCCCGCGACAAACCAUUCAAGUUUCUGCCCCAUCAGCUUUCGAUGGUAGUGUAUUGGACUACCAUGGCUUUUACGGGUAACGGAGGAUUAGGGUUCGAUUCCGGAGAGGGAGCCUGAGAAACGGCUACCACAUCUAAGGAAGGCAGCAGG